rnacentral:rRNA from 1 species
UACGUAGGGGGGCAAGCGUUGUCCGGAAUUAUUGGGCGUAAAGAGCGUGUAGGCGGUCCGGUAAGUCAGCUGUGAAAGUCAAGGGCUCAACCCUUGAAAGCCGGUUGAUACUGCAGUGCUAGAGUGUGGAAGGGGCAAUCGGAAUUCUUGGUGUAGCGGUGAAAUGCGUAGAUAUCAAGAGGAACACCUGAGGUGAAGACGGGUUGCUGGGCCAACACUGACGCUGAUGCGCGAAAGCCAGGGGAGCAAACGGG